rnacentral:rRNA from 1 species
UACGGGGGGGGCAAGCGUUGUUCGGAAUUACUGGGCGUAAAGGGCUCGUAGGCGGCCAACUAAGUCCGACGUGAAAUCCCCAGGCUUAACCUGGGAACUGCGUCGGAUACUGGAUGGCUUGAAUCCGGGAGAGGGAUGCGGAAUUCCAGGUGUAGCGGUGAAAUGCGUAGAUAUCAGGAGGAACACCGGUGGCGAAGGCGGAUCUCUGGGCCAUUACUGACGCUGAGGAGCGAAAGCGUGGGGAGCGAACAGG